AUAUUGGUCAAUGGUCGGGAGACUGAACCAGCCAAGCCGCGUGAGGGAGGAAGGUACAGAGUAUCGUAAACCUCUUUUGUCAGGGAACAAAGGCGGGGACGUGUCCCCGGAUGAGUGUACCUGAAGAAAAAGCAUCGGCUAACUCCGUGCCAGCAGCCGCGGUAAUACGGAGGAUGCGAGCGUUAUCCGGAUUUAUUGGGUUUAAAGGGUGCGUAGGCGGAGUGUCAAGUCAGCGGUAAAAUUUCGGGGCUCAACCCCGUCGUGCCGUUGAAACUGACGCCCUUGAGUGAGUGAGAAGUAAGCGGAAUGCGUGGUGUAGCGGUGAAAUGCAUAGAUAUCACGCAGAACGCCGAUUGCGAAGGCAGCUUGCCGGCGCUCAACUGACGCUGAGGCACGAAAGUGCGGGUAUCG
rnacentral:rRNA from 1 species